rnacentral:lncRNA from 1 species
UCAAGGACGAGCUGGAGUGGACCUACCCGGAGAUGGACUCCUUUUGUCCCGCCAUCCAAAAGAAGGCGAACGCCCAGAGGAUGCUACGCAUGGAUGCCGUUGGAGACCGGGACUGCACGUCCAUCGGCGAGCAGCUCUGGGCGCUGAACACAAAUGUGGAGCAGACGCUGGCUGCGGAGAAAGAUCCAAGGCGACCAAGGUUACCCGUGGAGUUGCCACGCAUCCUUGCAGUGCACCCGAGGUCCCACACUUGCAAGCAGUACAUAGUAGUCUCUGAUUUCAAUAAUCCAUAUGUACAGGGAGCACCUUGUGACAGACAGGUGCCUGAAUCUUUUUUCUUGUUUCAGUCAAAAAAAUUCCAUGUCUACCGGAUUUGCAUCCAAACACUGAAGUAGAAGCAAGCAUCGCUCAUUGUUGGGUUGACUGAAAGUUUCUUUGCUUCAACCGACUUUAUGCAUGGAUGCAGCACUACUAGUACUAGACUUGUCCUUUAUGCAUGCACAUGUAAUCACCGAGAGUAACCAUCACCAGCUAUAGGACUUCGAAAAGAUCAUCACCAUGCAUGUAUAUACAUUUUCUGUGAUAAGUAUAUUUGCUUGCACGCACACACACCCUAAUCAUACAAAUUAAUGGAAGGGGAAAAUACUAAAUAGGGAAUUAAAACACCUACUCUAGUCUUUCAUUUUUAGCAGCCAUUAUGCUAAUUUUAUCUUAUUUUAUUUAUUUUCUUGCGUAUGUGGCAAUUACAUAAACACACAUGACAACUAUGAUUCGUUGCUAGAUGACAACUACAGUUGUGCGUUCGUGGCAAUCAGAUAAAUACACAUGGCAACUAUGAUUAAUCAUACAUGGCAACUAUAGUUGGAUCACAUGCGGCAAGUAGGUAAACACACAUGAAAACUAUCCCAGGUAAAUAAUGUAUCAUCCCGCGGGUAAAUAUAGUUAACAUGCAUAGAAAGAGUUGUCAUGCUUUUACAACUACAUUUGCCAUCCCGGUAACUAGAUUUGCCAUCUUCGGGGUAACUAAAAUAUCAUCCAGUUGGUAAAUAAUGUAGCCACGCCAGGAUGUGUGGGCAAAUUUGCGUCGUGCCAUACACGCGGGCGGGGAUGAGUAGUACUUAUUGGAUGUGUGACACGAAGUAGCUGCACCCACAGUGGUGGACAGUUCUAUUGUUUGUCCACACACAACCCGUAUAAGGGAAUUUAAAUUAUGUCUCGUCUGUACAGGAGGUUCACUAAACACAUAAGCUUGGCGGACUAAACUGGAUGUAGAAAAUGUGUCAACUUUCUAUGGCAGAAGCUUGAUUCGAAAACUUAUAAAAACUAUAGUUUGUUAUUUUUAGAUGAAACCUGGAUAAUAAUCAUUUAGAUGUAGCUCCGAGAAGAAUAGGCUUCUUGUGGCAAUGGCUUUUCCUGAGAAUAAUAGUCUUCUUGCUUCUUGUGGCAAUGGCUUUUUCUGAGAAUAAUAGUCUUCUUGCUUCAGUUUUUUUCCUAAAAUGCUGAGAACAAUAUGCUUCUUCUGGCUAUAGCAUCUUCUUAGGAGCAGGAGUCGAUUAUGGUGCCUCUGUAGUUGUUUGGUUGUGUUUCUGUUGGUAGCAUGCUUGCUUGUCAUUAUGGUGUGGAGAGCUUGUAACUUGUCUUCUGAUUAAUUUAUCAAUCUUGCUCUCUCUUUGUCUAUCUGCCUAUGUAGAGUACUUUGGCCACAUGAAGUCGAGGAGGACGGAUGGUGUGAAUCUGAGCAUGUCCUACGUCUUUUGGUUGCUGCCGAUGGCUGGCUCUCCUUAGCUUGUGGUGUGGACGGAAGAAGAGAAGGAUGGAUAUAACGUGGUCAUGAAACCUGAGGCCAUGAUGAUGGGUCGACCUGUUGGUUGAUUAUUAGUUAGUUCUUUUUAGAAUUGUGAAUUAUAGCAAACAAAUGAUAGCUCACACAUUGAAGUAGCAAGUAGCUAGCUCUUAGAGAUGACAAAUCCUGGUACUGAUGCUACGAGAGGGAGACAAAGCACACAAGUUGUAUUUAUGACGAUACCUUAGUUAUAAUACAAUAUAUAAUUGUUAUGAUCCUCAAAUCUCUCGCUACCCAACGUGUUAUGCUGCCAAAAUUUCCAACCGAAAUUCUCAUGACUUGUCUAAAUUUUGGCCUUCUUUGUAAGAAAACAAAAGCCUAAGGGUGUUGAACGCAAAAUCUUGGGAUUUCGUUUGUAUGGGAAAAAGCCUUAGGAUUUAUAAUGUGCAUUCCUCGUCGACGAGGGUAGGGGCGCCCCCGCGGCGCGAUUCUGCCCGCAGAUUUGGCCGGAACCGGCGACGGCGGAUAGGCGGACAUGCAGUACGUCACAAGUGGAUUUAUACACUUCGUUCCUGCGGCGCCGAUGCGGACUUCGCAGGUAUGUUGUUUCACGGUCCUGGCCCGCUCAUCUUGGCUCUGUUAUGCUGUCUUGGGCUCUUGGCCACGUUGCUCAUGUUGGCUCUAUUUUUUUCAGACAGGUUCUCAUCUUGGCUCUCUAGGGUUGGGUGCUUUCUAUAAAGGUCUUGUAUAGAUCCAUGGGUUAGAGUUAGUUUGGGUUAGUUUGGACUCAACUAAACCAAAAAUAACCAACAUCUUGGCUCUGUGGUUGGGUGCUUCCUACAAGGCUUCAACCGCGGCCGCCAAGGAAGUCAGUAAAGAGGACCUGACGUUGCAGUCGUUCGAAGGACACACCACAGGUGUCCCCGCUCAAGGACGAGCCGGAGACGGCCUAUGCAUAGAUGGCCUCCUUCUGUUGCGAUCGUUGUGAGUUAUUUGAAGUUUUAACUUAUUAAAAAUAGAAAAAUAAAAUGGAACUGAAAAUAAAAAUAAAAAACGGAACUAAAAAAAGAGGCGCAUGGGCGGCCCAAACGCGUGUGCGGCAUGUUCUCCCAGCGUGCAGAGCCUAAUAUAGGAGGUUUCUACAUGGGCUGGCCGAGUCCAAGAUUUUUCGCUGUGAAACGUUUUUUAUUACUUAAAGGUGGUAUGGUGGGUAAUUUAUGCCAACUUUAGGGAAAACUAGAUCAUCGAUGACGCGCGUUGCUGUACCCAUCUACUAUUUCGUUGGAAUAAUAGGAACAUAAAUAUAAGAUAAAUGAAAUAUAGAAAUUCAGUUAAAAGUAUAUCAUUCAAUAACGGAAAAGGGAUAUUCUUACGCUGAUGUAUUAGGCAGUUGUGACAAGUGAGAGUAUCCUCACACAUAUAACAUAAAUGAAACAAAGAAAUUCAAUUACAUAAAUAUAUGUUGUAUCAUUCAAUAGUAAAAAAAAGGAUAUAUUAUGCUAAUGUAUUAAUCAUGAUAUAACAGUAUCAGAAUCACAUUAGGUUGUCCUCAAACUAAUGUACUCCAUGUUACUUUAUGCAGAAACUGAUGUAGUACUAUAGACUUUUAUUCUUGCAAAUAAAUAAAUUGAUAAAUCUCACAAUUCGCACAAGAUAUACAUGUGUUAACAAUGUAUUGUUGCAUAAGAAGGAAAUGCCCUCCACAUUAUAACUGCAAACUAAUAAAGGAGCAUAUUUAAGAGAAACUCCUUAUUUUUAAAAUGGCCAUACUCCAUGUCGCAAGUUUUCAAAAUGUGCAAUCCUUUUGUUUCUUCGGCAUGUAAACAAAUCGAAGUUGUGUUACCACAUCACCACAACAACCCAUUAAUACUCAACAAACAACAUCAUGCCUUUCUCAAUCCAGUUUGACAGAAAAUGGAGCGGAUAAGAUAAAGUUAGUAGCUGUAAGCCUAUAAGUUAGAAAAAACAAACUUAACUGUGUUCAAUUGUGAUGGACUUCAUGUGACGCUAAGCUCAGGCAUACACGGAUAUCUUAGAGCACUUGGAUAAGCUAGUGUGGUCCACCAUGGCAUAUUAUCCUGUUAUCCUAUUUAUACACCCUCAUAUUCUUAUCAUGAACCACUUUUAAGUUGGUAGAGAUUAAAAUUCACAUAUAUACAUAAUACUGUGGUUGUAGAAAAACAUCGUCCUAUCUAUCCAAUAGUGCUUUUAAAGAUCACAGCUCUGCCUCCUCUUUUUGUUAUGUUUUCCACAUGUUUUGAAUUCCUUCUCUUGGUUUCUGAUGGCAUAUUACAUUGACUUAUGAUGUUCUGCUAUGUCUAACAAUACUUUCAUAAAAAAUGUAUACAUCAUAUCAGGUGGAAUAUUUGUAAAACGACCAAAGAGUGCCUAAUUCGAUUGGAAAAAGUUGCUAGUAUUUUAAGAUUACAAUGUUUUGAAGCCAAAAAAUAAACAACUUAAUGUAGCACACAUCUUACAUGAAAAAUAUGAGAUGAAACUGCAAAAAUUUAUAAAAAUCAAGUAGCCAAAAUGUGCGAGAACCAAUGAAAUAUUUUGGAGGCGAAGCCGAAAUGAAACGAGAGCGAAAAAAGACCUCUUACAGAUCAAAACAUAAAUUAUCUUCCUUACAUGCUAACUACUUUACGGAUGAUUCAUAAGCAUCCGAAAUUUAAAGGAAGAAAAACAUACAGGUAAUAUUCACAUAUUCAGGUAGUGCAGCUUCUUAAGAGCCUUCUUUCUAGGGUCGAAAGCUUCUGAGAAGCCUACAAUUAUCUAAAUUCCUCAUAAGUGGCAGACAUGAAAUUUGCUUCAAAAAAAUUCAUAAUUAAGAGUCUAUAAUACAGCUCGAGCAACAAACCAGUGGUUCAGUACAGCAUCAUGAAAGAAGAUUACCCUUGCUGAAGAUACAAUCAAACAAAACUUAGUUUUACUGAAUUAGUGGUCCAGUUUACAAUUAAAAUAUGUACUACAAUAACCAAGCAUCAUCUGCAGCAGUCGAACGUUUGUGAAUAGACAGCUUAUAACUCGGACCGAAGCCGAAAAAACCGAGAACCGGAGACCAAUCGUGCACUUUGUGGAUUGGAUCCCCUCGCAGGAUCACCUCCUCUCUACAAGUGUGGCUGGAGCUAUUCCUCUCUAUCGCACGACUGCCCCGUUUCGUGAUGUGUUGAGCAAACUGUUUUUUCGGAGAAAGAAGUCAGCACAUCGAUGGACCAUUGUGAGUUAUCCAAAUGGACUUGAAUAGCAGUCGGUAGAAGUCCAAUUAAUCACAGGCCUUCGAAAAGGUCCCCAGAAUAGCGGCCCGUUAGGACAGCCGACCCAAAUCAUGGUAAACUACACUUAUACUCUGGUGAAGCAGGUAACCUGUUGCAUAUAGCAACAAACAGUACUAUGGUGUUCAGCCAUGAAUGGCCCAGACACAUAAUCUAAGAAAUCAUACGUCUACAUGAAGGCUAAACCAUGAAAACGUGAGUGGCUAUCCCUGUGAAGUACUACCUGACAAGUCGUCGUUGAAGAUUGUCUAGUGAAAGAAUUCCGCAAAUCUUAAUGUCAGAACCAGUGUCCAAGAUUUUCCUGAAACUGAACAUAAAAGGGAUGUAAACCACAUGUACAAAAUUAGGGUUGAGAAGAUAGUAGCACAAGCCAAUCAUUCGGUGGAACAGGGGUCAUACAUGAGAAAAAUGCAGAUAGAGAAAAACCUUACUGAAGACCAUGGGGUGAGCCGUAGAAAAUGAAGAAUAUACAGCGCAUAUAUAGUGCGGGCCAGGAAAUAGAAAUGCACAACUCCAUUAAUUGCCAACGGUGAGUGUGUGCAUUGGCUGCGAUAAAUGCUCCCUGGAACUGAUGAUUGAUUGCCGCCUUCAAUUCCAAUUGUUCAGCUUCAAUCCUUCGAAUAGCUAGUGUCGCUUAGCCUCUACCUGGUCUUGGUGGCUUGAACCAAGUCAACCUUAUGAUCUUGCUGGCAACUGGGAAGGCCUAGAAUAUAGGGGAUGCAUAAAAUGAGGAGACAUACACAGACCUUAGAUGAUGGAGAAAGUGAGCUGUCGUCAGCUAAUAGCACACGACACAAAAAUGGACAGUAGGAAGCUGUAGAAUCUGCCCAAAUCAAUUGUUCACAUGUAGCAAGAACAUCACCUGCACAUAUUUUUGCCCGGAGAGGACAUGAGUUUUUUUUUUCUGUCACACCAUAUAAGGACAUUGUAAUUGACUGAUGCAAUUUCGAGGUAACAUACCUGACCGUGUCGCUCAAGAAGAUGUUGCUGCUGGAGCUUGGUGUCAAUACACACCGAGGGAGGAAAUCAUUAUAUAGCACCACGGGGCACAUGAAAGGUUUGUGACUUUACCAGCCAUGAUUGCGAGCUUAAGGAGAGCAGAGCAGUUUCCAAUGGAAUAGGGUCGUGAUUACGAGCUUGAAAGAGAGCAGAGCAGUUUCCAGUGCCAUCAUCUGUGUCGCCUCGGCCGGUUCCAUAGCAAACCUCUGUCGCAUGCCGGAUUGGAUCGGAUCGACCCGGAUCCCGCGCCUGAGGACGGACUCGAUCCCAUCCCUCACCUCAGCUGGACAGAUUCCGCUCCUCCGGUCGUUGGGGAUGGACUCAACUCAAUCCCAUCCGUGCACAACAGACGUCUUCACUGGAUGGAAUGGUACCGGACGCGCCAGCCUCCUCUCUGCGGCUCGAUGUGGUCUCGACCCUCUCAGCAUCGUCGAUGUGGUCUCUCUUCCCCUUCGCUUCGAUCGGGAUUAGAUUACGAUUCGCGAGCGUGGUCAGGUUCGGGAGUGGAUGGUCAGACGUGGUCGCUCGUCUCGCUAACAUGCCUUGCAAUCCCAGCAGUGGGCCGCCUUCGAAUGGGCUGGCGGAAGGUCCAAUGCACCAGAGGCCUUGAUUUUGGUCCCUCGAGCAGCAACCCACAGGACAACUGGGCUAGACUUAACCCACUGCGGAUUAGAUCGACUUAGAUAGAAAAUCAAACGGCCAGAAACUUCCAGAUCUCGAAAACGGACGGCCGAAAACACAAACCAGGGAUUAAGUGCGGUUAUACUGUCCUUAAUUUCCAUGACGUACGGGUAGAAAUACUCCGUCUUUUAAUAGUAGGUAUACACUAGUGGAAAACGGGCCUUUGGCCUGGACCCUUUAGUCCCGGCCUCCAUCUGGGUCGGGACUAAAGGCCCGGCCACAUCGACCCAAAUCGCAAUGCCGCCUACGAGGCUUUGGUCCAAGCCCGUAAGGAGCCUUUAGUCCCGGUUUGUGUCUCAAACCGGGACUAAAGGGCUACGCGGUGUGCAGCCCGCAUGUGCACCACCUUUAGUCCCGGUUUGUGUCUCAAACCGGGACUAAAGUCCUCUGCCUAUAUAUAUUGGCCACAGCCCCCCUCUCCCCUCUUCCUUGCAUUUUUCUUGGAUGGAAGAGUGUGGGUGUGUGCUAGCUCUCCAUUUUUCUUGGAUGCACUAGAGGUGUUUGUAGAAAUGUGUGUUAGAGCGAUGCCGCUUCAGUUCACCGAACACAACUACGAUAUGAGAUGCCCGAGCCACGCUUAAACCUCUUCCUCUUUAUUUUUACUUAUUCUAAAAGGUUAGCAACUAUAUUUCCUCGUUUAGACCGUGCGGUACUAAUUUUUAGGAUCGUGAUUGUAUUUGAUAUACUGUCGUAUAACGCAGAUGAGCCAGCCAUGGAUGUACGGUGAUCGACGCACAGCCGCUUACAGAGAAGGCGUGCAUUCUUUUCGAGAUGCAGCCGAUGCGAACAAGCAUGGUGGUGGCUAUAUGUUUUGUCCAUGUGUUGAAUGUCGGAAUGAGAAGGAUUACACUUCCUCAAGAGUCAUUCAGAGCCACCUGCUUCGGUCCGAUUUUAUGUCGGGCUAUAAUGUUUGGACCAAGCACGGAAAAAGAGGGGUUAUGAUGGAAGACGACGAUGAAGAAGAAGAGAACGAUGAUGACAACUACCGAUCUAUGUUCCCUGAGUAUGCUGAUACCGCAAUGGAAGACAAUGAAGAAGAAGAUCAGGAUGAAGAACGGGAACCAGAUGAGCCCGCUGAUGAUCUUGGCCGGGUCAUUUAUGAUGCACGGCGAGGUUGUGACACAGAAAAGGAGAGGUUGAAGUUUGAGCAGAUGUUACAGGACCACAACAAAUUGUUGUACCCACCUUGUGAAGAUGGCCAGAAGAAGCUGGGUAGCACACUGGAAUUGCUGAAGUGGAAGGCAGAGACCGGUGUGACUGACUCGUCAUUCGAAAAGUUGUUGGUACUGAUGAAGAAGAUGCUUCUAAGAAAGAACGAAUUGCCCGCCAGCACAUACGAAGCAAAGAAGCUUGUCUGCCUUCCCUCUAGGAUUAGACGUGCAGAAGAUACAUGCAUGCCCUAAUGACUACAUCCUCUACCGCGGUGAGAAGUACGAGAAUAUGGAUAAAUGCCCGGUAUGCACUGCAUUGCGGUAUAAGAUCAGAAAAGAUGACCCUGGUGAUAUUGAGGGCGAGCCACCCAGGAAGAGGGUUCCUGCCAAGGUGAUGUGGUAUGCUCCUAUAAUACCAUGGUUGAAACGUCUGUUCAAAAAUAAAGAUCAUGCGAAGUUGUUGCGAUGGCACAUGGAAGAUCGUAUGAAAGACGAUAAGUUGAGGCACACCGCUGAUGGUCGGCAGUGGAGAAAAAUCGAGAGAGAGUUCCCGAGAUUUGCAGGUGACGCAAGGAACUUAUGGUUUGGUCUGAGUACAGAUGGCAUGAAUCCUUUUGGGGAGCAGAGUUGCAGUCACAGCACCUGGCCCGUUACUCUAUGUAUCUACAACCUUCCUCCUUGGUUGUGCAUGAAGCGGAAGUUCAUUAUGAUGCCAGUGCUUAUCCAAGGUCCAAAGCAACCCGGCAGCAAUAUUGAUGUGUACCUAAGGCCAUUAGUUGAUGAACUUUUACAGUUGUGGGACGAACCAGGUGUACGUGUGUGGGACGAGCACAAACAAGAGAAAUUUGACCUUCGAGCGUUGCUUUUCGUAACCAUCAAUGAUUGGCCUGCUCUUAGUAACAUUUCAGGACAGUCAAACAAGUGAUACAAUGCAUGCACACACUGUUUGGAUCAGACAGAAAGUAUAUAUCUGGACAAAUGUAGGAAGAAUGUGUACCCGUACAAUCGUCGUUUUCUUCCGCCCAAGCAUCCCUUAAAGAAAAAAGGCAAACAUUUCAAUGGCAAGGCAGAACCCCGGGGGAAGCCUGUCAUCCGUACUGGUGCUGAAGUAUUUGAUAUGGUCAAAGAUUUAAAAGUAAUCUUUGGAAAGGGUCCUGGCAGCCAACCUGUUCCUAACGGCCCUGAUAAGCGCGUACCCAUGUGGAAGAAGAAAUCUAUAUUUUGGGAGCUACCCUACUGGGAAGUCCAUGAGGUCCGCUCAGCAAUCGACGUGAUGCACUUGACGAAGAAUCUCUGCGUGAAUAUUCUAGGCUUUCUGGGCUUGUAUGGGAAGUCAAAAGAUACACCGGAAGCACGGGAGGACCAGGAACGUCAUAAAGGAAGAGAUGGCAUGCAUCCACGACAGUUUCAAGGGCGUGCCAGCUACACUCUUACUAAGGAAGAGAAGGAAAUCUUCUUUGAAGUCCUUUUCAGUAUCAAGGUCCCGACUAGCUUCUCGUCGAAUAUAAAGGGAAUCGUAAAUAUGAAAGACAAAAAAUUCCAAAACCUAAAGUCUCAUGACUGCCACGUGCUUAUGACGCAAUUGCUUCUGGUUGCAUUGAGGGGAAUUCUACCGGAAAAUGUUCGCCUGGCAAUUGUGAAGGUAUGUGCAUUCCUCAAUGCAAUUUCUCAGAAGGUAAUCGAUCGAGAAAGUCUAUCAGGGUUACAGAUUGAUGUGGUCCAAUGUCUGAUCAACUUUGAGUUGUUGUUCCCGCCAUCCUUCUUCAAUAUAAUGACAUGCCUCCUAGUUCACCUAGUCGAAGAGAUUAGAAUUCUCUGUCCUGUGUUUCUACAUAAUAUGUUCCCUUCGAGAGGUUCAUGGGAGUCUUAAAGAAAUAUGUUCGUAACCGUGCUAGGCCAGAAGGAAGCAUCUCCAAGGGCUAUGGAACAAAGGAGGUCAUUGAGUUUUGUGUGGACUUUCUUCCUGACCUUAAGCCGAUUGGUGUUCCUGAAUCUCGGUAUGAGGGUAGGCUGACAGGAAAAGGCACACUAGGAAGGAAAGCAAAAGUAUGUAUGGACGGGCAUUCUUUCUCUCAAGCACACUACACAGUUCUACACAAUUCCACCGUGGUGGCUCCGUAUAUCGUGAGACACAAGAAUAUUCUACGCUCCGAAAACCCGGGGAAGGCUAACUCUUGGAUUAAAGGGGAACACGAGAAGACUUUCGGUAGUUGGUUGCGGACACAUCUCAUGAAUGACGACACCGUUGGAGAUCAGCUGUACUGUUUGGCGAGGCCACCAUCUUCGACUAUAUGUACUUUCCAAGGGUAUGAGAUAAAUGGGAAUACAUUUUACACGGUUGCCCAAGAUAAAAAGAGCACCAACCAAAAAAGUGGUGUCCGCUUUGAUGCAACAGACGAGAAUGGGCACUGUUUGGAAACAUAUUACGGGUACAUAGAGGAGAUAUGGGAACUUGACUAUGGACCUACUUUUAAGAUCCCUUUGUUUCGGUGCAAAUGGGUGAAGCUGACAGGAGGCGGGGUAGUUGUAGACCAAAAGUACGGCAUGACAACAGUGGAUCUCAACAAUCUUGCGUACAUGGACGAACCGUUUUUCCUAGCCAAUGAUGUCGCUCAGGUUUUCUAUGUGAAGGACAUGUCUACAAAAACGAGAAAAAGAAAUCAGCAAAAGAAGAUAUCGUCCGAUGAGCCAAAACGCCACAUAGUUCUUUAAGGGAAAAGAAACAUCGUGGGAGUAGAUGACAAGACAUACAUGUUAGUCGAUUAUAAUAAGUUUCAUGAAAUUCCGCCCUUCAAAGUGAAAACUGACCCAAGCAUCCUACUGAAUGAUGAAGAUUCUUCAUGGCUACGACCGAGAAGAAAACAAAAAUAAUAGAUAGGAAUAUUGGUGCAAUAAUGUAAUAAUGUAUUAAACCUUUUAUGUAAUGCAUGUAUGGAAUGUAUUAAACCUUUUUAAUUUUGAAUUAUUUAUUCAAUUUCAAACACUUUUCAUUCAUCAUAGUUUUCUCAAAUUCUCAAACUUCGAGAGAUUAUCCGUUUUGUACACGAANNNNNNNNNNNNNNNNNNNNNNNNNNNNNNNNNNNNNNNNNNNNNNNNNNNNNNNNNNNNNNNNNNNNNNNNNNNNNNNNNNNNNNNNNNNNNNNNNNNNNNNNNNNNNNNNNNNNNNNNNNNNNNNNNNNNNNNNNNNNNNNNNNNNNNNNNNNNNNNNNNNNNNNNNNNNNNNNNNNNNNNNNNNNNNNNNNNNNNNNNNNNNNNNNNNNNNNNNNNNNNNNNNNNNNNNNNNNNNNNNNNNNNNNCCAACUUUCAACAUUUUUAGAGUUCAUUUGUAGUGCUUUUCAAUUUUAGGGUCAACUAGCCCAAAAAAACAAAAGUAAAUGCACGAAAAAUACCAAAUAAAGUCAGAAAUUGUUGAAAAUUUGUGAUGUGCCUUUGAAUGGUGCAUUUUAAAUACACAAAAAGUAUGGAGUUCAAAUCAGUUCAAAAAAUGAAAUCCCUUUGUAAUAGAUGAGUUCUCGUUCGAAACCCUCAUAGUUCGAGAGAGAUUGUCUGUUUUGUACACGAAGUGCAUCCAGUUUUUGUCCUAACCUUCUCCACUUUUUAGCACAUGCUAUGUGGGUGAAAUGAUGAUACCAUGCCAACUUUCAACAUUUUCAGAGUUCAUUUAUAGUGCUUUUCAAUUUUNCACAUGCUAUGUGGGUGAAAUGAUGAUAGCAUGCCAACUUUCAACAUUUUCACAGUUCACUUAUAGUGCUUUUCAAUUUUACGGUCAACUAGCUCAAAAAAAGUAAAUGCACGAAAAAUACCAAAUGAAGUCAGAAAUUGUUGACAUUUUGUGAUGUGCCUUUGAAUGGUGCAUUUUGAACAUAUAAAAAGUAUGGAGUUUAAAUAAGUUCAAAAAAAUGAAAUCCCUUUGUAAGAGAUGAGUUCUCGUUCGAAACCCUGAUACUAGUCUCGGGUCGUGGCUCCACCCGGGACUAAAGGGUGUCUUUAGUCCCGGUUCGAGCCCCGAACCGGGACUAAAGAUCCUACUAUAUAUACGGCCCCGACGAAAAUCCAAAUCCAAACACCCUUUUCGUUCUCUUCUUCCUCUCGCUCGCCUCUCCUGCCCGGCGCGGCACCGGACGAACUGCUCGACGCCGCCAGGCUGCACGCCGUCGCCGUCGCCCUGCCGUCGUCCUCACCGGCGCCGGACCCCCUCCCCUCCCACUCCGGUAAGCCCCCCGCCCCCUCCUCCCCAUGCCGAACACGAAGGACGAGCCGUCGGCGCCCGCCGACGGGGACGCCACCGCCGUCGUCGUGCCGGUGAGGAGGAGAAGUAGAAGAAGAGGAGGAGGAGAAGUAGAAGAAGAGGAUGAGUAAAAGAAGAGGAGAAGAAAAGUAAGAAGAAGAGGAGGAGAAGAAGAUUUUUUUUGUCAUUUAAUUCCUAUUGUUAUUAGGUUUGUGCUAGAUUAUUAGGGUUAGUAAUAUUUAGAUUUAGGUUAGGGUUACAAGAAGAAGAAAGAUGAACAAAAAUAAGAAAAUAAGAUUAGGAAAAAGGAAAAUAAGAAGAGGAGGAGAAGAAAAGAAUAAAAAGGAGAAUAAGAAGAGGAGGAGAGGAGAAGAAGAGGAAAAAUAGAAGAAGAGGAGAAGUAGAAGAAGAGAAGUUGAAGAAAAAUAGGAGAAGAAGAAGCGGAGAAGAAAAUAAGAAAGAAGAAGAAGAAGAAGAAGAAGACAUUUCUACGUAUAUAGAUGCUUAAUUAGUGUUUUUUAGAUUAUUGGUUAAUUUUGCUAUUGUAUAUGCUUAAGUGUUAUUUGUAGAAUAUUUGGUGAAUUUAGGGUUAGGUAGGUUAGUGUUAAAUAGGUUAUUUGUGUUAUUUUUGUGUUAUUUAAAUUUGUGUUAUUAGGGUUAGGUAGUUAGUGUUAAUUAAUAGGUUAUUGUCAAUAUAUAGUUGAACUAGUUGAUUUAAUAAAACUUUUGUCAAUAUAUAGUUGAACUAGUUGAUUUAGUAAAACUACUUUAUUUUACUAUAUAUACAAUUAGUUUAUUUUUAGCAAGAAAAUUAAUAGAACUAGUUUAUUUUUUUAGUUCAUUUUACGAUGCCUAUCCCGCAUCCUCGUCGUCGACUCGGCGGAGGACACCUGCUUGAUCAGAGGGGUCAUGUCCGGGACUGGGCUCCACCCGGUUGGUAUUGGGAGGUGCUACCUUCCGGGGGCGUAUGUUGGUGAGGAGCCAGCCCGUUGUUGACCCGAUCCUUGUUUGGUGGCGGUCGCGUGGGCCAGUGACGGUGCCGAGGCUUCCGGACACCGCGGAGGUGGUACGUCACCGUGUCAGCGAGGAGGAUGAGCACGUCCGUCGCUACAUGGUUGCGUUGGAGGGCAGGUUCGACCAUACCUGGCAGGUUCUUCAGGGAUCUCACUGGAGCUAUGAUCCUGUGAUGGUUCCUUCUCUUUGGGUGUCCACCGCCCGCGACGAUACCCGCCGGGCGCUAUGGUUCUAUCUGUAUUAGUGAUGCUAUAUGUAUGAUAGUAUUCGAAGAGUAUUAGUGAUAAUAUUCGACGAUGUACGGACACAAGAGAUGAUGUAGUUUUGCUUAUAAUUGAAUGCAUGCUAACUUGAAUACUACUUUAUUUUACGAUUUGGUUUUGCUUAUUGAAUGCUCAAAUUGGAAAAGCCACGACCCGGGACUAAAGUAGUUUUGGAACGGAGUUCCUGAUAGAAUAAUUCUUUUUUGGUACAAAGUUCAACAAAGUCCUUUGACACUAGACAAUGUGACAUAUAGAAGGGUAGAUGAGAUGAGGAAAAAUAGGAUCAUUUUCUACACAUCUAGAAUGUCGCCAUUUUGUUAAAUCCUUAAAGGUUAAGAGAAUCUGUUAGACAUAUUUUAGAGUUUAGGUUCUAGCCAAGUCCCGGGACUAAAGGUCCUCCUAUAUAAAACGACACUUUGAAGUUUCCAACCCCUCUUACAUAGUUUGUUAGUUUAUUAGUUAAUCAAAUGUCCGUUUUUUGCAGAACUAUGGAUCCACAUAUCAGGAACCUUGAAGAGAAAGAACUUCUCGAAGAUAUAAUCAAAUACGGCCCCGACGUUGAACCAGCUGAAUCUCCGUCGUCAUAUCUAAACCCCUUCGGAUAUGGAAUGGAGGUCGAUCGGCACGAAGAUGAAGCCGAUGGGGCAGGAGAUAGGUCCAAUGACGAAGAAGGUGAUAGCUCCACUGAUGGAGAAGCCGGUGGAGAAAUAAUAAAGUCCGGCGAGGUAUACAUAUGAAGUUCGACAAUCACUUUUAAUAUGUAAAAAAUAUUAGAGAUAGCUCUAUAUUGUAUAAUAUACAUUCAUUUGACGAAUGUUUCUCCCUCUUAGGCCUCCACAUCGAGCAAAGCUACGAAACGAGGCCCGACUAAAAAGUUAGAUGCACGGACGCAUUACACCUUUGAGGUGAUAUUGCCUACGGGCGAACACAAGCUUCCUCAGAAUGCUGCUGACACAUUCAAGAAGCAAUGCGGAGUUCUCGUUAGGGAUCAUGUCCCGAUCAGCGUUCGGGAGUGGAACAAGCGCAAAGGGGCAGCCGAUAGUGACUAUGUCGCCGAAAGGUACAAAGAUAAUCUUUGGAAUGAUCUCAUGUCACAUUUCAACCUGCCAGAAUGUGAGAAUGAAGACGCCUUAAAAAAACUGAGGGCCAAAGUCAAGCAGUGGACUCUAAAGAAGAUGGCCGAACUGUUCCGUAGCUGGAAGAAGAAGCUAUGGAAAAACUAUCGGAAGAAAAAGAAAGUGCCAGUAUUCGAGGGGUAUCUAGCCAAGCAGGCGAAUCACUGGAAGGCAUUUCAAGAGUACAAGGAGUCAGAAGAUGCCAAGGCAUUAUCAGAAAAGAACAAGAAAAAUGCCGACAAGAAGAAAUAUCACCACACGCUGGGUCUAGGGGGCUAUGAGACUGCCAUCCCAAAGUGGGAUAAGGAAGAGCAAGAUCUGCUAGCUAAAGGCAUCAUACCUGAACCACUCCGUGAUGAGUGGGAAUUGAGAGCAAGAAAUUGGUUCCUUGCGCAUGGUGGUUCGUACGACGAAGAAACAGGGGACCUCAUCUGCAGUGACGGUCUUAGGAUACCCAGGGAGAAUUGGAAAAAGAUAGUGAAAGAAAUUAAGGAGGGAAAAAGACAGUUCACUGCAGAUAGAGAGAAAGAUUUGCUCACACUGGUCCUCGGCAAUGACGAACAUGGAGGACGAGCGCGAGCUUCGGUCCUUCAUACCCGUGGUGGCUUGAGUUUGCCAGAGACCAAGACACUUACAGAAGCCGAGUGAGAGCAAAGAAGCGACAACAGGAUGAGGAGAAUGAAAAGUUCAACCAGUUGCUUGCCAGGAUUAACGAGCAACAGAAGCAGAUUGAUGAGCUUAGAGGAGUAGCGCGCCAGAAAGAUCCUGCACUCGAUAUUACCGGCGCCCCAUCUAAGCGGAAAAGCAGCGUGGCUGAAUCUGAGGCCCCGCCCGACGAUGCAUGAAGAAUGAUAGAGGGCGGUCCCGGCUACCCCGUGGAUGGAAUCAAGGAGUCAACAUCAUGUGAACUCCAUCAGAAAUUCAAGAACAUAUCCAUGAAGGUGGCCGUCGGACAAGCUUUACCUUCUGGCCCUGAUGCACGCUGGCAUGGCCGUGAGAUUCCAGUUGGCUUUGCUAAAGUCGGGGUGAAUGAAAUCAUGGCGGGGUUUCAUGAUAUGGAGCUCCACAUAGCUGGACCCGAAGAUGAGAGGACACUCGGAGAAGUACUGGGUGGAGUCAUCCUAUGGGACAAGAACUACAUCAAGCUUCCAGGCUCGGCCCCAAGGACAACACCGCCUCCAAGACGUCGCAGGUCACCUACACCUCCAUCACCUCCAAGCCCUCCACAUGACGACGGCCAGCACAACACGAGUCCAUCUCGAUCACCGCCGCCGGACUUGGGUCGUCCGUCUCCGCCGCCGCCCGCUCCGGAUAAUAAGCGGAAGCGUGCCAGCAAGAACGCUCCGUCGAUGAUUUCUAAGCGUUGGAGCUCCCCAAAGCGCAAACUGUCGCCCCUCCCAAAGGUACCUCAUGCUAAUCUUCCUAUCAGACCUUAUAAUCGUGUCGCCGAGGAAAACGCCAGGAUAGCAAAGGAACAUUAUGAUGCGCAGAUGAAAAAGAAGGAACCCGAACCCCGCCCGGAAUACACCGAGAAGCAAAUAGCAUAUGCAAAAUACUUCACGACCCUUCCAUCACAGUAUGACUUACACCAUAAGCCUGAUGACUAUACACGCACAUUGCAGAAGGAAGGGAAAAAGAGCAGAUCACGUGCAAGUGCAAGUGGGAGCAAAUCAAGUUCAACUACAAGCAAAAGAAGAUCAGACGUUCCUCAGCUUGGACAACAGGCCAAACAGUCGAUCCCACCCCUCAGGGUGUUACUCGAGAAUGUUCCCCCUCUGGUGCAGGGGCAAGAUUUGGAAUUAGCAAAGAAGUGGACGGAUGAAUGGGGUAUCCCGGUUGAAGACGUUCUGGCUUCCCAAGACGACACGUUACCCAAGGCUGUGGUAGCCCCUCAGCCACAGUUUGUCAUGGGAGCGCCAUUUGUCAGCAAAGAUGAUCUCCCAACAAAUAUGUGUUACUUGCAUACAUGGUACUUAAGUGAAUCAAAGAAUGGGAGAACGAUGAUCGUGGCGAGUGUCCCACGGGAGUACUAGGGCCGCCCCGAAGAAAUCCAUAUCGACUUUGAUAAACUCUUCCAAAUGUACAAUGCCGACGCCCUCGACAAAUCGCUUAUGAGUUGCUAUUGUCUGUAAGUUUUUCAAUUCGUUGUCUACAUAUAACUUGUUUAGUUAUUUCAAUUCAUUGUCUACAUAUAACUUGUACUCUAUUAUGCAGAAUGAAGAUUCUGGAAUGUAAAAGUAGGAACAUCCUAAAUAUUGGGUUUAUUGACCCGGAUAAAAUACAUAUAGCGACGCUAACUGAUAAACCCAAGGAGACGGAGGAAAACCUUCUAAGGUUUCUAACAGAUCAAAAUUUAUGUGACCACGUACUGUUUCCAUACAACUUCAAGUGAGGGCCUUUACUCUGUUGUGUCCAUUCACUUAUAAGUAAUUGAUAAGUUACUGACAUAUAUAUAUAUAUAUACACACACAUGUACAGCUUCCAUUGGAUUCUGUUGGACAUUCAAAUUGAUAAGGGAAGAGUUGAUGCCUUCGACUCAUUAUCGAGACCCUUGGAACAGUUCCAAAGCCUGCAGGACAUGCUCCAAGGGUAAUUUCAAUCAUUCUUGCGAUCUAUCGGUCUCUUUCUAUGAUUUUCUGAUAUAUCAAUUAAUGAAAAACUUAGCAAAUCAUUUUCCUUGUCGGGCAGGGUUUGGAAGCGGUUCAAGUGCGUGACUCCCGGUAUCGAUCCUGAGAAGCUGACCUUUAGAGCGGCUCAGGUAAGUAGUAGUAUGAUAUACUUCUAUUUUCAAUACAUUUACGAUGCUAGAUUAUUAUUUUGAUUAUAUAUAUUCUAUUCUCGUAAAGUGCGACCAGCAGCCACGGGGACGCAUCUAUGCGGAUACUAUGUUUGCGAGACCAUUCGCACGUUUACCUCUGAGCACAAGGAUCACAGAUACGACGUAAGCAAUGAACAUUCACACCUCUAUUUUUACCCAUCAUUCUUUGUUAUCAUGAUUGAUAUUCAUAUUCAUCUCCUCUUCUUAUAUAGUACACGGCCAUGAGAGAGAAGGUCCUACCAGAGCAACGCGCGAUUGCUGUUGCAGAGGAUCUUGCGACCUUUCUGAGGACGGAAGCUAUAGAUGACAAAGGACGAUUUAGUGUAGCUAGGGGUCAUUACUGAUGUUGGUUCAUGUAAUCGAAUAGACGGGCCCUAGUCCCGAUAAUUCAGAUCUCCAUAUAAUUGUAUAUAUAUGCUCGCUUGUAAGAUAAGUUAAUCUUACAUAUAUAUGCAUAAACAUGUAUAUUUAGAAUUAUAUGAAAACUAAUUCCCGAACACCAAACGAGGCAUCACGUUAAUCUCCCGAACACCUAAACCCUAAAAUCCUAAAAUAAACAAAAUCUGCAGAAACUCUUUAGUCCCGGUCCGUGUUAAGACCCGGGACUAAAGGGUCUGCCCCUGAGGGCGCUCCGAGGCGCCCACGUGGAGCACCUUUGGUCCCGGCUUGGAACAGGGUCGGGACUAAAGGUUAGGCCUUUAGUCCCGCCCCUUUGGUCCCGGUUAGUGAACCGGGACUAAAGCCUCUUACGGGCCGGGACUAUAGGCCCCGUCCCCACUAGUGAUAGAUAUAGAUAUAGAUGUAUACAAGAUGAUGUCUUUUGACGCUGGGUGGCUUGUUUUGUUGUUUGACGUGUUUGAAGUCAUUAGCAAUGGUAUAUGCCGCCCCGUGACUGCAACAUGGUUUUCGUAUGGUUGAGCAUUAGUAACCGUUGUGAAUGCGUAAGGAAAGUUUGGAUCUUUACUCUUGAUGAAUAGCACGGAAAUUAUAAUUAAUUUCAGAAACGUGCACUUCCGUGAAUAUUGAGCAAGUUCUUUGAUUUUUUCAUACCCGUUUUGCGGAACACAAAAGGAAAAAUGGCAUGACGUGUUCUUUUUCAUUUGUGGUUUGUGACACAGGAUUAAUCAAGAAGAAAAACAAGGACCCCUAGAAAAAGGGGGGAAAACAUGAGAAUUCCAUGCCCCCUCGAUAGUUUCGAUUCGCAUGGUGCCGACCUAGUCAUACAACAAAAAUGUGAUUUAGAGCCAUCUUCUCCCACGGCUUCACUGGCUCCGACCUCGAUAGCCUUAGCGCAUCGCCGGUUAGCGGCAGCACUCAUGUCAUGCGUCUCCUCGUUCCUACGGCGCCGGUGCAGACUCCACUAGUGAGUCGCCCACAUGCCACAUCGGGUGAUGUGGUUGACCGGACGCCAGACCACAUAUGCAUGGUACAACUGAGUGGCCGAGGUAUGGUACAUAUGCGCGGCGUGUAUCGCUGAGGUGGGGAGGGUGACAUGUUUUUUAAAUGACCGUCACACCAUUUGAAGGUGUUAGGACAUAUCGCCCGUGUCGAUGUAUUUACAACAGGGGGUGGGGUAUAUACUGGAUCAAGUUGGCGCUAGUUAGGUUCAUCAAUAUGGGGUGCUCUAUGUUGGAACCAAGGCACGCACCCGCAUCCACGACCUGCCGCGCAUGCAUGCAGGGCGGCUCCCUCGCGCCCACGACCCGCUCGCCCCAUGUAGCCAGCUUGCUCCCUGCGUCUCGCUAGGAUCGCCCGCAUGCAGGAGGCUUAUCCUCCUGUUACUUGCAACAGCCACUGGCUCUUACCUGUAUAUAAACACAUGUACUGUACACUCAAAUCAAUAUAGUGUGAGUUCAUCAAUCUAUCUUGGUAUCAGUUUGUUUUCGAUCCUCUCCUUCCGCCAUGAGCAUCCGCCGCCCCCUCCACCGGACUCGCUCCUUCGGGGACGCCGACGCCGUCUACAUCCCGUCGGAAGUCGCCCCCCCCCCCGCCCCGGCUGUCGCCGCACCCGCCCCUCCAGCGCCCGUCGCCGCGCCCGUCCCCGGGGCGCCCCUCUCCCCCAACGCCCGUGCCCUGCGGCACGCCAUUCCGCCUCCCCUCCGUGCUCUUCGACCCCCGGCCGACCUUCAGCUGGCCCUCGCGCCACCCCCGCUGCCUCCUGCUCCUGCUCCUCUCAUGCACCACGCCAACAUCGCCUCCUACAUCCCGUUCAAGCUGUCCAUCGACUCCGGUACAUAUUCGAAGUGGCGCCAGCUCUUUUGGUACCUCCUCUGCAAGUACCGGGUCGAGGACCAUGUCCUGGAGGAGGUCGACCCCCUUCAUGCCGACCCCACCUGGCGCAACGACGACAUCACGAUCGUCCUCUGGGUGUACGGGACGAUCUCCGACGAGCUCUACGACACCAUCCACUCACCGGACAGCACCGCCUUCCGUCUCUGGGAACAGCUCGAGAUCUUCUUCCGCGACAACGCUGCUGGCCGCGCCGUCCACAUCGGCGCCGACUUCCGCGCCACGGUACAAGGCGACAUGUCCGUCGCCCAGUACUGCCGGCGUCUCCAACAACUCGCCUCUGCCAUGGCCGAUGUCGGCGAACCCAUCUCGGACCGCUCCCUCACGCUGCAGCUCAUUCGCGGCCUGAGUCGCCGCUUCCACGUCAUGGCCACCCUGCUCCCGAUGCAGCAACCAUUCCCCUCCUUCCUCCAAGCGCGCUCCCGCCUCCUCCUCGAGGAGAUCUCCAUCACCGAGCGCGAACGGGCCAUGGGCGCUACGGCCCUUGCCGUCGGCCAUGGUGGCUCCUCCUUCGGCGGCGGCGGCUCCUCCGGCGCCCCGCCCACUUCGCCCGCGGACAAAGGCAAGUCUCUGGCUCCAGGCGGUCCCUCGCCAGAUCGUCAACGCGGCGGGCGAGGCCGUGGCCGUGGUCGUGGCCGCGGCCACCCCGGCUCCUCCUCCAACGGCGGGCAUGCUCCGCCGGGCCAGACGCCCUAGAUGGGGUACUUCGCCCCCUUCGGUGCACCUCCUCCCACCCCGCAGCAGUGGCGCGCCACUUGGACACCGCCUAACGCCGCCGGCGUGCUUGGCCCCCGUCCAGGAGCGUCGCACCAGGCCUACGCCGCCAUCGGGUCCUCCUCCUCUGCCCCCCAGUGGGACCCGGCUGCCCUCGCCCAGAUGCAGCAGAAGUUCGCCCACAUGAUGCCGCCGGCUCCCCCCUCCAACUCUGAGUGGUUCAUGGACACCGGGGCCACCUCCCACGUCGCCGGCACUUCAGGUAACCUCGACCGUGUCUCCCACAAACCAGUAUUUCCCUCUAGCAUCACGAUUGGCGAUGGCUCAGUGAUCCCCGUCGUUGCCAGCGGCUCUACCACCCUUCACCCCUUCCAUCUUAAUGCUAUUCUCAUCUCCCCCCACAUUAUCCAAAACCUAAUUUCCGUUCGUCGUUUUACUCGUGAUAAUUGGUGUAUCGUGGCUUUUGACCCUUUUGGCUUCUCUGUGAAGGACUUGGCAACGGGGAAGCUUCUCAUGAGGUCCAGUAGCUCCGGCGAUCUUUAUCCGUACCUUCCCAAUAAUGGCGGCUCGCGGGCGCUCUCCAUUUCAAGCACCGGCGACUUGUGGCACCUCCGCCUCGGCCACACUAGUCGUGCUUCCCUUUCUAUUUUAGCAAAGAAUUUCCUAGAUUCAUGUAAUAAUAGCCACAGCUCCCAUGUCUGUGCAUCUUGUAAAAUUGGCAAGCAACCACGAUUACCAUUCCCCACCUCUUCCUCUCGUACCUCUGCUCCCUUUCAGCUCAUCCACUGCGACUUAUGGACGUCCCCCGUGUGUAGCUUCUCGGGUUACCAAUACUACCUCAUUGUACUCGACGACUACACCCACUACUCCUGGGCUUUCCCACUACGCCACAAGAGCGACACCACCACUACUCUCCAACGCUUCUUCUCUUACACGCUCACCCAAUACAACCUCCCCAUAAAAUGUGUGCAAUGCGACAAUGGCGGCGAGUUCCUCACUCACACUCUCCGUGAUCACCUCUCCCGCCUCGGCGCCUCCUUCCGCCUCUCCUGUCCCCACACCUCUCCCCAAAACGGCAAGGCCGAACGCCUUCUCCGCACCACCAACGACGUCCUCUGUACCCUCCUCAUACACGCCCACAUGCCACCCGAGUACUGGGUUGAAGCACUCCAUACUGCCAACCACCUAAUCAACCGACGUCCCUCCUCCGCCGUCGACCAGAACACACCUACUUCCUCCUUCACGGCCGGCACCCCACCUACGACCACCUCCGCGUGUUCGGCUGCCUCUGCUACCCCAACCUCACCCAUCUCGCCCCGCACAAACUCGCGCCACGCUCCACUCCGUGCGUCUUCUUGGGCUAUCCCCUCGAGCACAAAGGCUACCGCUGCCUAGAUCUCCGCUCUCGCCGCGUCUACAUCUCGCGCCAUGUCAUUUUUGACGAGCAGCAGUUUCCUUUUGCCACCCUCGCCACACCUGUGCCCACAGCGCCCCCAGCCACACCGGAUCCCCCGCCCAACCUGGCACAUCCGUACGUCGCACCUACCUCGUACCCUCUGUCCCGCCCUUCCGCCCGGACUCCCACGCCUCGCGCGCCUCGGCAACUACCUGCUGUUCCCACUGCACCGCUGCACCCCCCACCUGCCCAUACUCCCACGCCCGCGCCUCGGCCAACCCACGCUGCCCCACUGCGGCCACCACCCACUUCCCCCGCCCCGGUGCCCACUGACCCGCAGCCACCUGUCCCCAACGCCUCAGCUUCCCCCUCUACCNNNNNNNNNNNNNNNNNNNNNNNNNNNNNNNNNNNNNNNNNNNNNNNNNNNNNNNNNNNNNNNNNNNNNNNNNNNNNNNNNNNNNNNNNNNNNNNNNNNNNNNNNNNNNNNNNNNNNNNNNNNNNNNNNNNNNNNNNNNNNNNNNNNNNNNNCCCCCCCCCGUCUACACCUGCCUCCGCCGCUCCAGCCAACCCACCAUCGCCAGCACCCGCUGCGGCCACCCCGCGCGUUGUCUCACCAGCUCCUCCCCUAUGCCAGCCCGCGCCAUUCCCGUCCAACCCCCCACCAACACACACACCAUGCGCACCCGUGCCAAAUCGGGCUUUUCCCUGCCCAAGCAAUUCGCUCAUCUUGCUACGUCUUCCACCAUCAGCCCUAUACCUUCCUCCUAUCGCGCCGCGCUCAAGGAUCCCAACUGGGCUGCUGCCAUGCUUGAGGAAUAUACUGCUCUGUUACAGAAUGACACUUGGUCGCUGGUUGCUCGUCCUACAGGUGCUAAUGUGGUGACCGGCAAGUGGAUCUUUCGGCACAAGUUCCACGCUGACGGUACGCUCGCUCGCUACAAGGCGCGCUGGGUAUUGCGUGGCUUCACUCAGCAGGCCGGUGUCGACUACGACGAGACGUUCAGCCCUGUCGUCAAGCCCGCCACGAUCCGCGUCGUCCUCGCCCUCGCAACCGGCAGCUCCUGGCCGGUCCAUCAACUCGACGUCAAGAACGCCUUCCUCCAUGGGCAUCUUGCGGAGACUGUCUACAGCACACAACCCGCCGGCUUCGUCGACACCACACGGCCGCCGGAUGUGUGUCGUCUUCACCGAUCUCUAUACGGCCUCAAGCAAGCGCCGAGGGCGUGGUUUGCGCGCUUCACCACCUACCUCCUCACCCUCGGCUUCCGCGCGUCCAAGGCAGAUUCCUCCCUGUUCUACCUCCAUCGCGGCUCCGACACGGCGUACCUCCUCCUCUACGUCGACGACAUCAUCCUCACCGCCAGCUCGUCGCCAUUUCUCCAAACCAUCAUCGCGUCUCUCGCCCGUGAGUUCUCCAUGACUGAUAUGGGCUCGCUCCACCACUUCCUCGGCAUCAAUGUCCACCACACCACCACUGGCCUCCAUCUCUCUCAGGAACAAUACGCUCUUGAGAUUCUCGACCGCGCGGGCAUGCUCAAUUGCAAACCCGUCUCCACGCCGAUAGACACCACCUCCAAGCUGUCCGCCGAUGACGGUCCCUUGAAAUAUGGUUACACACUCACCAUAAGAGUGUUUUGUCACAUGUGAAACAUGUGCGAAACCAAGCAACCACACAAUAAUAGUGACCGGCUUGGGGGGGGGGGGGGGGUUGCAUCUAGGGACCAUUAUAAAGGAACCAUUGUGUUACACUUUCAAGGUACAUAUCAUAGCCGCACCUGUCAUGAGAUGAGAAAUACCACACUACUACACAUUUGAAAGAGGCAUCCACAUAAUUUAGAUAUUAGAUGAGACAUUAGAAGAAAACCGAAGGAAUGAGUUUCGAACCUUCUGACUGUGAAAUCUAUGAUAGAUUUCUUCCACAGCUUCACCGGCUCCAACCUCGACGGCCUUCGCGCAUUGCCGGUUAGCGGCAGCACUGGUGUCACGAGGUGGAGUCGGCCUACCCGGAGAUGGCCUCCUUUUGUCGCGCCAUGCAGAAGAAGGGGAACGCCCAGAGGAUGCUACGCAUGGAUGCCGCUGGAGACCGGGCCGGGAAUGGACGUCCAUCCGCGAGCAGCUCCGGGCGUUGGACACAGAUGUGGAGNNNNNNNNNNNNNNNNNNNNNNNNNNNNNNNNNNNNNNNNNNNNNNNNNNNNNNNNNNNNNNNNNNNNNNNNNNNNNNNNNNNNNNNNNNNNNNNNNNNNNNNNNNNNNNNNNNNNNNNNNNNNNNNNNNNNNNNNNNNNNNNGAGGGUGGAGCAGAUGCCGCCAUGGUAAGAGGAUUUGUGUGCGGCGGCUGCGGAGGUCCCACACUUACAAGCAGUACAUAGUAGUCUCUGAUUUCCAUGUGUACAGGGAUCACCUAUGUGCGAGACAGGUGCCUGAAGCUUUUUCUUGUUUCAAUUAAAAUUUUCCAUAUCCAUUGGAUUUGCAUCCAAAGACCGAAGUAGAAGCAAGCAUCGCUCAUUGUUGGGUUGACAGGAAGUUUCUUUGCUUCAAUCGACUUUAUGCAUGGAUGCAGCACUACUAGUACUAGACAUUUUUCUUUUGUGUGAAGUAGUACUAUACAUAUCAUCUGAUCCACUAGUUAAGACUUGUCCUUUAUGCAUGCCCAUGUAAUCACUGUAUAACCAUCAUCAGCUAUAGGACUUCAAAAAGAUCAUCACCAUGCAUCAUGUAUAUACAUUUUGUGUGAUAAGUAUAUAUUUGCUUGCACGCACAUACACCAUAACUAUACGAAUUAAUGGAAGGGGAAAAUAGGGAAUUAAAACAAUGAUUCUAGUCUUUAAUUUUUAGCAGCCAUUAUGCUAAUUUUAUUUUAUUUAGAAUUAGACAAUAAAUUUCAGUAGUCAUAUCAAAUUUCUACAAUAUUACUACACUAGGUGUGGAAUUAAGAUAAACACAACAACCUGGUACUAUGAAAAUAUAAAAUAAACAUAGUUUUCAUAAGGAAGGAUGUAUUAAAGGCAUUGGUAUUACCCUAAACAAAAAUAUAAAUGAAAGAAAAACUUGGUAUUCUAAAUGUCAACAUUCUUUUCUACUCCCUACGUUUUUUAUAAGAAGUUUUGGACACUUGACAUAGAAUUGUUUUGGGCAUUGUGUGAAUUGUCUAAACAUCUUAUAAACAUGAACAGGGGGGGUAUAAGUUUGGUCAAACUUCAAAAGGUUUGACAUAAGACAAAACUAAUACGCAUGGUAAAAAAAGGAAGGAGUACUAUGCAAGUAUGUCUGACAUGAACAAUCACAAAGAGCUUUUGUCAAAAAUUAUUAUUGUAUGGAGUAAUCGAAAUAUAUUUAAAUUCUGCACUCUAAAUAUGCAAAAACGUGCAUGAUUAGCUAUUGUGCAAGCACACGUGUAAAAAAUGUAAAUAUAACAAUCAUCAUGAUUCAAGAGAGAUUAACACACACAAUAAUAAUUAUAAUUUGAGUUUCUAGAAAAAAUAAGGAGUGUCACACAAUUGCGGUAUUAAUAUGUUGUCGCAUGCACAAAUAUUCAAAAGUCGGUGUCCAAGUUUAUGUUUUUUGUGUCGGAAGACUAUUGGGCCGGCGGAAGCACAUGCCACGCUUACCUGUUGGGGGCUGGGAGUUUAGUCCCACCUCAUCACGCGAAGAGUGUCAGGAUUGGCUUAAAUAGACGUGUGCGUGUUUGCUGUUGAGCUCCUCCCAAAUUAAUGCCAUGCCACUUGCUAUCGCCGCCUUGUUUACCAUGUUGGUGGACCGUAUUGCGGGCGGAAUGAUCUAUCCUUGUUGCCCAUGGCUUGAUCGGAAUGACCCGACUAUGCCUUGUUCGACCUAGAAGGGGGGGCAAUUUUUUAGGUUAAAUAAUUUCAAAUGAAAAAUUCAAAUUUCAUUCAAACAACUCAUAAGUCAUUCAAAUUUUAGAAUAUUUUACAUAGAUUAAAAAAUUGUGAUUAACACUUACUACUCCUAAUCUACUCGUCAUUGUGGUGCCGAGAUUGUUGUCGUCGCCCUCACCAAGACGAUCGUAUCCCUAGAUGCAGCAAGCACAUCGUGGUAACCCAAAAAAUCCCCCCCGGGGGGGGGGGGGGGGGGGUUGCUUGGGGUGGCCAGCGAUGGGGGCCAUCCUCUGGUACUUCUCUAGCAGUAGGGGCAGCGGCGGAGCCCUCUACGACUCGUGAAUCGCCAUGAGGAAGCCCUACGAGUUCUCUGGGACGCCCACUUCGUAGGCCAACCAUCAGUACCUUUCCACAAAGACCGGAUCCGACCCCUUCUUAGGGGCGCAAAUGCCAUCACUCACCGCAGAGAUGAACUCCGUAGUGUCGUGCACGCCGCCUCGCACCGCAGAGCCGUAGUCACCACCCAGACGCACCGGACCUAACUAAGCCGCGAACAUCGCCAAACUGCCCGGAGUCACGGCAGAAUGCAACACCACAACCACCCGACCACAAAUGACGUCGGCUCUUGUGUACGCCCUGUACAGGGCCACCACUUUAUGAAAGGUGCACCCGUCCCAAAUCGCAUGCCGCUGUUAUAUAUGCUGCACCGGCGGUGCGGACCCUCGUACAACUAGCACCGGGCGUGGUUGUCUUCCAACGCCGAGCCUCAAACCAUCCACAUAUGUCCGGAUCGUGCUGUCCGGAGGUAUUGUGUCAUUCAAUACAGAUCGUGCUGUUCGGACAUACGUUUUUUCUGUAAACCGAAGACAAACCUGAAGGAGCCUGGAUAUUCGACUGAUAAGUGGAAAGCCACCAUGUGCCCUCGUCCGUGCAUGAUGAUGAAAGGUCGAUGCUAAUUGGGGCAAGAGGAACUUGAUUAUUAACUGAUUAACAUGAUGUUUGGCAGAACUCUUCAAGCUAGCCAGCUUGAUUUGGCAGAAGGCACAUAACUAUGCAAAACGAUUCAAAACAGCCGGAUGAUUUCCUGGCUUUGGCAACCGCGUCAAAGGUUGAUCGCGCAGACGUGAUUGGAUCCAGCCACGGAUCUGAAGCUAGUGUUCUCCGUGUCUGUUUAAAUAUUCAUUUUCUUACUCUACUUGUUCACACAUACGUAUGUAGCUACAAUGUAAUGCAUCAAUUGAUCUCAUUGGUAAGCUAAGCACAAAGCAACAGCAAGCACCAAAUGUGUUUCAGGACACCUUCUUCUUUGACGUUACUGUGGGUGUUCAAUUUGGUACUAGCAAGCUCAUUGCUGGGAUAUAGCGCUAGCACAUAUAUAUUGUCACAGAUUCGUGGUUGCAUUUUUUUGCCUAGCACGGAUGAUGCCUGCUGCAUGCAAAACACUCCCUAGCAAUGCAUGCUCUAAAUAGCCUGUAGAAGUUAAUCAUGUUGUUUCUUUAGGAUUAGAAAAGAAAGCCAAACCGAGUCCUAGUAAUAUUAGGAUUUCUAGUCCUAGUCUAUUUUCAUAGUCCCUUGUGGACGUGUAUAAAAGACACCCUAGGGGUGUUGAUUGUAACACCAAAAAAACGAAAAGCAAUACAAAGCAAAGGCUCGACACGGGCCUUUAGCCAUCAAAUCCAUCGAUCAGUUUUAUUCGUGUCGCUAGUUACGCAAGUUCCAUCAAGUAGCCGGCCGAAGCAUGAAUCGUGUAGGCACGCCUGUACAGCUGCAUACGCAUGUACAAAAGCCAACAAUUGGUAUCUAGAGCCUCGACGAUCUACGAUUUACGAUGACGGACAGCGACGCUGAGUCGGUCAAGUCCGGCAGCGGCGGUGCUACGACGAACAAGAACAGCGACAAGGUGAAGAAGGGCAUCAAGUCAGCAACCAGUGGUGGAGGAACGAGCGGCGCCAACGUCCAGGCGCAUCGCAACAUCCCAAUCCAGUACCCGAUACUCACCGACGCCAACUACGGCGUGUGGGCGGUGAAGAUGAAGAUUAUUCUCCGAACCCUCCGAGUGUGGCAGGCAAUCACGGAUGACGACGUCGAUGACGGGUCCGACGAAGGUGCCAUGGCCUCCAUAGCCCAGUCCAUGCCGGAUUCCGUGCUGAUGACAUUAGCGGAGUUCGAGACGGCAAGAGAGGCGUGGAACGCACUCAAGGAGAUGAGGAUCGGAGAAGAUCGCGUCACCAAGGCACGGGCACAAGUGCUGAAGCGCAAAUUUCACAAGUUGCAGAUGGAGGAAACUGAAUCGGUGAACGACUAUGCCAUGCAUCUUACUACUUUGGUGGAAGAGAUCCGCGCGCUUGGUGCAAAGCUCGAGGAGACCGAGAUUGUGGAGAAAUUUUUCAGUUCCGUGACUGACAAAUUCACGUACAUCAUCGGCACGCUCGAGCAGCUUUACGACAUCGACGACAUGACCAUAACGGACGCCUGCGGACGUGGGAAGAGAAUGCUCGUGGUUGUCGAAAAGGCAAAGGAGGAGGUAGUGACCAACUCAUGUACUCGCGCGCAGAUUGGGAGGCCCCAAGUAGCAAAGGAAGGCGUGACGGUGGCGAAGGCUCAAGCAACACGAAGGGCGAUGGACAAACCGGAAAAGGCAAAGGAAAAGGCAAACCACAAGGUCGUGGUAAGGCGGGCCAAUCUAAAGAGCAGAAACCACGGAACUUGGACUUGUCCGAGGUCAAGUGCUAUAACUGCAAUAAGAUGGGUCACUUUGAGAAGGAUUGUCCAAAGCCUAACAAGCGGGAGAUCAAGGCAAAUUUGGCAAAGCAGGAAGACGAAGGUCCAGGUCUUCUGAUGGCCGAAGUUUAUGAUCUCGCUGAAACGGUGGUUGUGAAACCAAGCCGGAAGGUGCUACUUCAUGAGGAAAAAGUGACACCAAAGUUAUCCGGUGAUCAGAACGUGUCGUGGUAUCUUGACACGGGUGCCAGUAACCACAUGACGGGGUGCAAGGAGAAAUUCCUCGAGCUGGAAUACGAUGUUGAAGGCUCGGUCAAGUUCGGUGAUGAUUCACCUGUGGAGAUUUGCGGGCAAGGAUCUGUCCUCUUUGAGGGUCUCACAGGCAAACAUCGCAUACUCACCGGAGUGUACUACAUCCCACGGCUGCGCAACAACAUCAUCUCUAUUGGGAAGCCUGACGAGAAUGGAUGCAAGGUGAAUAUCGAGAGCGGAGUGAUGACGAUCUUCGACAACCUCCGAAACGUGCUAGCUCGUGUUAAUCGCACACGGAAUAGGCUAUAUAUCCUCAACCUUGAUCAAUCUCAACCGGAGUGUUGGCUCGCCAAGAGUGAUGAUGAUUCGUGGUUAUGGCAUGCUAGAUUUGGACACGUUAACUUCUACACCUUGAAGAAGAUGUCAAAGAUGGAGAUGUUAUCCGGGAUGCCAGUUAUCGACCAUGUUGAUUGAGUAUGUGAUGUGUGCUUGGUUGGAAAACAGCACCGCAGGCCAUUCCCUGCUCAGUCUACCUAUCGUGCAAGUGAUGCACUCGAGCUGCUCCAUGGUGAUCUAUGUGGCACUAUCACCUCGGCAACUCACACUGGAAAGAAGUAUUUCUUCCUUGUGGUAGACGACUACUCGAGAUAUAUGUGGGUCAUUCUCCUACGGUCUAAAGAUGAGGCGUUCGAAGCAUUCAAGAAGCUGAAGGCUGCAACAGAGAUGGAACACAAGCUGAAAGUUCGCGCUCUACAGAAGAUCGCGGCGGAGAUUUUACGUCGAAGGAGUUCAACGACUACUGCGAGAAGUUUGGCAUAAAGAGGUUCCUCACGGCACCUUACACGCCGCAACAGAAUGGGGUCCUUGAAAGGCGCAAUCGAACCGUCGUUGACAUGGCAAGGAGUUUACUCAAGAGCAAGAACCUGCCGGGGACUUUUUGGGGAGAAGCUGUCUCGACGGCGGUCUAUCUUCUCAACCGGGAUCCAACGAAGGCGGUGAUCGGCAAGACUCCGUAUGAAGCAAUUUACGGACGUAAGCCGAAUGUGUCUCAUCUACGGACAUUCGGGUGCGUGGCACAUGUGAAGACGGCAGAGCCGCACCUCUCAAAGCUUGUCGAUCGUAGCACCAAGAUGGUGUUCAUCGGAUACGAGAGCAGUUCUCGCACCAAGGCAUACUGUUUCUACGAUCCACAAACCAAGCGUCUACGGAUUUCACGCGACGUCGUGUUUGAAGAAAACCAAGCGUGGAAUUGGAGCGCCGCAGCCGACUAUGCUCCAAACAGUAACAUAUUUGCAGUUGAAUUUCCAACUGAUGAUGAUGCAGGGGAGGAUGCCCAGGUGGUUGGCAAGACGCCCAACCAAGGUGACCACAAUGGUAGUGAUCAUCAUGGUGCCGACACCGACAACGACGCGCAUAGGUCGCAAGGAGAUAGCCACAACGCCGCGCACGACACAGGCGGAGAUCUCGACGAUAACAUCGACAACGAGGCGCAUAGUGACGACGACAAUCAAGAUGAUGGUCACGGUCACAACGACUACACCGACGACACGGAUAUCGAUGACACACUAGGGUCUCAGCCGUCUUCCUCAAGUGCAUCAACACCGACACAAUUUGUGUCACCUCCUUCGCAAGCCACAACGGAUUCCUCAGGGCCUCGUCGCUACAAGGCCCUCAAGAAAGUCUACAAGUACACAAAGCCAGUUACGCUCGAGUACUCCGGACUAUGUCUGUUCGGAGUUGAGGAGCCGGCGAACUUCGUAGAGACGAGCAAAAGUCCUAGCUGGACGCACGCCAUGGAUGAGGAGAUGAAGGCAAUUGAGAGCAAUGGCACGUGGACUUUGGUAACCCGACCUCCAAACCAAAAGACGAUAGGUUUGAAGUGGGUUUACAAGUUAAAGAAGGACACGGAGGGUGCCAUUGUGAAGUACAAGGCAAGACUCGUUGCGAAGGGCUACGUUCAACGUCAAGGAGUUGACUAUGAUGAGGUGUUUGCACCGCUUGCUCGAAUCGAGACGGUGAGAGUCCUCCUAGCUUUGGCAGCACAAGAGGAUUGGAAGGUUCAUCAUAUGGAUGUUAAAUCCGCUUUCCUCAACGGCGAUCUCACAGAAGAAGUGUACGUGGAACAACCCCUCGGCUACGAGAAGAAAGACGAAGAAGGGAAAGUUUACAAGCUCAAGAAGGCACUUUACGGGUUGAAGCAAGCGCCAAGAGCUUGGAACUCAAAGUUAGACCGAAGUCUGGUCUCGCUCGGGUUCAAGAGAUGUCCCCUCGAGCAUGCAGUCUAUACAAAGAACUCCAAAGGCUCAAACCUGCUAGUUGGAGUUUAUGUCGACGAUCUGAUUAUCACCGGAGAUAGCGUAGAAGAAAUUGAACGUUUCAAGGCGCAAAUGAAGAACAAGUUUAGCAUGAGUGAUUUGGGAUUACUCAGCUAUUACUUGGGCAUCGAAUUGAAGCAAAGCUCCGGAGAGAUUUCCCUAUGUCAAUCGGCUUACGCGGUCAAGUUAUUGGACAAGUGUGGUAUGUCAGAUUGCUACGAGACACAAGUUCCAAUGGACCAACGUCACAAGUUGAGCAAGCGUAGCUCAAAUCCGCCGGUGGACACCACAAUGUAUUGAAGCGUUGUGGGCAGCCUAAGAUAUUUGGUGCAUACCCGACCUGACUUGGCUUAUUCAGUCGGGAUCGUGAGUCGUUUCAUGGAGAAUGCGACAACCGAGCACAUGAGCGCGGUCAAUCAAAUCUUGCGCUAUGUGAAAGGCACCAUUAAUAUUGGUUGCACGUAAAGAAAGGGAAAUGAAGGAUUGAUCCUUCGUGGUUAUUCAGAUAGUGACAUGGCAGGUGAUGUUGAUGACCGAAAGAGCACAACGGGCAUGGUUUUCUACCUUGGCCCGAAUCCGAUUAGCUGGAAUUCUCAGAAGCAAAAGGUGGUGGCACUGUCUUCAUGCGAGGCAGAAUACAUAACGGCAAGCACGGAGGCUUGUCAAGCAGUGUGGCUGAGAAGACUCCUAGCUAUUCUUGCAAAGCGGGAGGUGCAGAAGGUGUCACUGAAGAUCGAUAACCAAGCUGCAAUCUCGUUGUGCAAAAAUCCGGUUCAUCACGAAAGGAGCAAGCACAUAGAUACCCGGUUCCACCAUAUCCGGGAGUGCAUUGAAGAAGGGUUGAUCGAGGUUCAACAUGUGAACACGAAAGACCAACUUGCCGAUAUUUUCACCAAGUCCCUCGGUCGACAGAAGUUCAUCAAGAUGAGGAGGAAAGUCGGAGUGCAAGAAGUGAAGUAAAGCAACAAGAUUAAGGAGGUGAAUGUAGAAGUUAAUCAUGUUGUUUUUUAGGAUUAGGAAAGAAAGCCAAACCGAGUCCUAGUAGUAUUAGGAUUCCUAGUCCUAGUCUAUUUUCAUAGUCCCUUGUGGACGUGUAUAAAAGACACCCUAGGGGUGUUGAUUGUAACACCAGAAAAAUGAAAAUCAAUACAAAGCAAAGGCUCGACACGGGCCUUUAGCCAUCAAAUCCAUCGAUCAGUUUUAUUCGUGUCGCUAGUUAUGCAAGUUCCGUCAAGUAGCCGGCCGAAGCAAGAAUCGUGUAGGCAUGCCUGUACAGCUGCAGACGCACGUUCAAAAGCCAACAUAGCCUCCUUAACAUCGCCGUCGCCACCACGAGCGUCCAAGUAUGCCAUCGCCGUCGCCUGACUGUAGUCGUAGGAUCGUCGAGCAGCCGUGUCAUAUCGCAUCACUGUCAUGGCCGGGACACGAUGUUGCAGCAUCGUUGAAGCAGCCGGGUCAUUGUCGCAACAUUACCAUGGUCAUCGAAGCAAGUCUUUGCAGCAUCACUGUGACCAUUCAAAGCACGAAGCACCCACAGUGGUCCGAGCCGUCGAAGCACGUUGUUAAAACAUCGUCAAAGCAACCAGACCGCCGUCGCCGCAUCCCUGCAGACGUGGAAGCACGCCAUUGCACCAUCAUCAAAGCAACCAUGGACGUUGUCACAACAGUGCCACAUCCGUGAAACACGUCGUUGCAGCAUGGUCCAAGCAACCCGGCCUUCACUACUAGAAAAAAGGCUGUUAGUGGCGCACCUGGUUGGCUAUUAAUGGCGCACUAUAUAUGCGCCACUAUUAUCACGUCACUACUAAUAAAUAGUAAUGGCGCACACCUGGUGCGUCACUGUUAAUCUACAUAACAGUGACGCACCACCUGGUGCGUCAUUACUAGGCCCAGAAGUGCAUCACUGCUGUGGGUUACUAAUGGCGCACUUUUAGAUAAUGCUCCACUCGGGUGUUUAUUUAUGUGUGUCACUAAAAUGCAAUAUAGUGCGCCACUACUAUGAAUAUUAGGAAAAAAAAUUUCUUUUCUCAUAGUUGCACAGGUUACAAAAUACAUUAGAACACAGAAUAUAAACAGCACAACAUAUAAACAACAGAUUUAUCGAAUACAAUAGAUGAUUAGUCUCCGAAUACAAUUCAUCAUAGUGAUACAUAUAUAAGUGAUGUAUAAGUAAGUGAUACAUAUUCUAUACAAUAGUUUUAUAAAAUAUCAUCACAUCAUCUCGAAAAUAGCGAUACAUAGUGAUUUAGAAGUAAUCAUCAUAGUCAAUGAGACAUCAUAUAACAAAAGUUGGUCACUAGUCAUAAUCACAACUCCUCCUCACCAUCAUCGUCAACUCUAACACAUUGUAGCACAUAAUAACACAUUGUACCUAGGAGCUACUCCUCUACUUAGGUAGAAUAUCAUAAAACAAGAUAGGCCCUGACUCUUCAUUAUGGAGAAUGGAGAUCAUCUUGUCUCCAAUUCUUGGCAUACGCAUAAUGUUGCUUCCAAGUAGCUCUCUACGAUUGACCAUACAUUUUUUUCAAUCUUUGAUUGUCAUGACUUCAUUGGUUUUAGAAAUCCGGUAUGGACAGGAGUGAUGCAGAUACCUAGGCUGACCUGGCCGUGCUGGUCGUAUCAUCAUAACAUCAACGCGACCUCUUGGUAACAUCAGAUGAGGCACACAAUCUUGCGGGAUUUUAUUUGUAGCUUUGUAGAUAGCAAUGUAAAACAUAGUAUUAGCUUUGUAGCUAGCAAUGUAGUUUAGUUUUACAAGAAUUUAUCCAAAAGAUGCAUGGAUGUCGUAAUAGUAGAAAAUCUUACCAUGCAAUCUCCAUGCAUGUUACCGUAGUUCACCACGUGCACUAGUGGCACAUAUUGACCAUAAUGUUGGGUAGUUUGCUGAUAGGUAUUGUAAUUCUCAAGAUCAUUGAUAAAUGCGACAAGAUGAUGUUUCUCCUUACAAGUUAAUUCUGCUUCAUCAUUGUAGUAAUAGGUUAUGUCUAUCAUUUUCCGUAUAUUUUUUGAAGAAUGAAAAUAAGCUCUCAAUGGAAAUAAGUUGUCAACUAUUUUUAAGUAAGGAAUGUAAAUUAUUUAAUAAAUGUGGUUGAGAAACUCACAUAAUGAUAGAACUGGAGGCGUCCGCACAUCGACCCAGAUGUCGAUAUUACCUUCAAUUUCAUCUUCCGGACGAAUAUCAAAGGUGAUAAGCAUAUUAGGCUCAAAUGCAUAAGCCUUGCAUAGUGCUUUGCAAUUUUUGCAUUCAAAAUAGGAGUAGGUGUCUGCAUUGUACAAUUUUACGGCAAAAGUAUAACCAUGCUUGGUCUUCAAGUGAACUAUCUUUACCUCCAUAUUUAUUUCAGUACUGAAACCAAUCUUAUCCAACACAUAAUGUCUUGCAUGGCAGGGGAUACGCUAGUAGAAUAGUAAAAACUAAAAAUUAUAAGUUCAAGCAAAAGAAGUCAUGCUUAAUUACGAAAAAAGACUUGUCGUUGUGACUUACUGUAUCCACUUCGAAGUCCUCAUCCAGCAUGAUGCUGAAGCGCCUAUCAUCAACAAGGUGAGGCGUGUCGCAAAGUCCGCGCUCGUCUUGGUAGUAUUCGCACAUAACAAAUUCCCCUUUGUCGUGAGACAUUUCUUAAAACAGAGAAAAUUUGGGCAUGGCAUUUGCUAAAAAUUGGACAUAUGGAGCGCCUGAAAUUUGCCGGAACGGGGUAUGACAUCUUGGCUCUUUUAUGCUAUCUUAGGCUCUUGGCCACGUUGCUUAUCUUGGUUCGAUUUUUACCAGAAAGGUUCUCAUCUUGGCACUGUGGGGUUGGGUAUUUUCUACAAAGGCCUUGUUUGGAUCCAUGGGUUAGAGUUAGUUUGGGUUAGUUUGGACUCAACUAACCCAAAAAUAUCCUUCAGUCUUUCUCUUUUGAUGUCGCAAAGUUGAAACCAAGAAAUAUCUGUUACGUUCCUGAUGUUUCCGAACACUUUCAAGAAAACCCUCUCGUAGAUCUUUCUUCAGUUUAUAAGAACCUUUUGUUUUUAUCUGAUGAUAUGUGCUUGAUACCUUGAGCAUUCUGAUCUAUUAGCAUUACUGAAGGCAACCUUAUUUGAUCUUUCUUGGACAUAUGUAACGCAAGUUUUCAUUUAGCACUACUGACACAAUCAUCGGUACCUUUGAAUGGAGCUCUCGACUCCAUCCUCCCAUUCAAAAAAUUAAUGGUAGUUUCUAUAUGCGUGUUAUCACCUCUACGAGCAAAAACAGUUGCAGUUUGUGUGCUUUCUGCAUGCGCUACUUUAGAAAUCAUUCUCAUUUUAAUUGUUUCUGGCUGGUGCACGUUGUAUAGUUGAGAAUCACUUGCGUUUGAUUCAAGGAUUACGUAGAGACACUAAUCGCUGGUUUGGAUUCAACUUAUCCCAAGAGUUCUUCAGUCCCAAAUAAUAUGUGCUCUUGAUGAAUGAAAAGCCGACUUCCUCUGAAUGAAGAUGGUAGUUCUCCCUUUUUUCCUCGUUUCUUUGAGGUGAAGCGCAAAGACCUCCAAAAGAAUGUUUCAAAAAAGAAUAGAGACCUCCCAAUCAGCGCAUUAAGUGCCAAAUACUUGCCCACAGAACACUGGCGGUCGAUUUGAGCCUCCGCACACUACAUAGUUCUUAUGGUCGUACGAUUGCUCUAGUUUUUCCAAUAUAUUUUCCAGGUCCUGCUGUGUUAUAUUUUUAAGUAUUUAUAGAAAUAUGAAAAAUCAAUGAGUUUUCCGAUUUUAAAAAUAUAAAGAAGUUGUAAACAAGUCCACAGUUUAUCUAAACUUCGUGAAUUAAAAAAAGAUCAUGAAUUUGGAAAAAAGCAUGAAUUUUAAAGAAAAAAUCAGGAAUGUGAAAAACUAACUUGUAAAAGGUUCAUGAAUUUGAAAAUUAGUCACGAUUUUGAUUUUUCUUGGAAAUUUGCAAAAGUUCACAAAUUUGAAAAGUGAACUUCACAAAAAAAUAUGAAUUUUUAAAAUCUUUCCAAAAGGAUCACAGAUUUAAAAAGGAAAAGUAGAUUUUUUUUAAUGAAGAUAAGGAAAAAAAAGACCAAAAAUGAAAAGAAGCCCAAUCAGGAAAAAACCCAAAGAAAACCUGGCCCGAUGGAACCGGAGGGAUCCUUCUAGAAGGUUUCCCAAAAUUGGUCUAGGUGCUAUUAAUAUGGGACAACCCAAGUAGCAAAGGACCCUUUAAGUUGCGCACCAAUAACACAGUAACCGGAGUCUUAAGCAUUCAAUAGGAAUCAAUUUGCUUUUCCUAUGUAUCGUCUCUUGAAGGAAGUACCGCCUCGAGGAAGUGGAACGGAAAACUAGUGGCGGUCCUAUUGGCGGGUGGUUGAUUCCAGGAUUACAUAUAGACACUAAUCGCUGGUUUUUAUCCCAAGAGUUCUCGAGUCCCAAAUAAUGAGUGUUCUUAAUGAAUGAAAAGCCGACUUCCUCCGGAUCAAAAUGGUAGAACAGGACUUUGGAAAGAACCAAAAAGUAAGCUGUCCAGGGGUUCAUUUCACUAUGCUGCAAAGAUGUAGAAUGCUUAUUUUGUGUAUUCAACAAUAAGUGUGUUCACUUUUGGUUUUACCCUGAAGCAUCCCUGUUUUUUGAGAACGUGGUCUAUCUAUUUCUUGUAAAUAUAUGUUGCUGUUGCCUUUCUUGCUCAUUUUAGGCUCCACGUUUGCUCACAUGAUUUCCCUUUUUUGCUUAUUUGACUAUCUUGCUAAGUUUCAUGCACUGUACUUGACUCAUAGUAGAGAAAAAAUUUAGUAUAAAGGGAUUUUUUAAGUAUGUAGCAGAAAUAUUGAUUGUAAGCAGAUGAUGCUCCGUAACUUAUCACCAGUCAUUUUACCUAUCUCUUUCAGUUCAACCCGGAUGCUAAAAAAAGGUUACAAGACUUGUGGAGUGCCUAAUGCUAUGCUUGGAAAGUGGGAGAGGAAGCUGCUCCUCAUCCACAUGAAGGAUCUUUGCUUAUAUUUCUCCGAUCCAAAACCACUUUGGCUGCUGCCAGAAGAACCUCCAUGCCUUUCUGCUUUGGCGGAGGCUGCAUCAUAACCUCCCUGUCUGGCUACCAAGGCUUGGGGGAGAUUACCCCCUCCUUGGACACUACCUCGGCUUCUUCCUCGGUUUAGGUGAGUCUCUGUCCUCCUCCUCCUCUCCAUGUACCCUGAGAUGGAGAUCAGCUCUGUGUUGAUGUUUUGAGAGCAGCUCUGUGUUGAUGUUGUCUCUGGUGGUGGCCUUGUCGCCCCCAUAAUCUUGUGAAGAUGCAUCAUGGAAAUUGGUCCCGGUGCUGGUUAGGCCUAUGUGCCGUUGUAUAUUCUAUUUGUUGUGGUUCGAUACUUUCAUGCUUAUUUAGAACCUUGCAUACUAUUUCUCUAUGGGUCAUGAAAACUGGCAACAGAUGUAAAUUCGUGUGAUGCCUUGUAUAGCAAAUUAUCACCCUCGUGCACAAAAUUAUAACUCCAUGGAUGUGAUGUUUUAGCUUUUAUUAGUUGAGAUUAGAGUUAUUAAUUCUUGGUGUGUGGUUCAUGUAACUGAUAAGAGCUGUUAAGUGUUUUAUAUUUCCGUAAUUAUUCUCUACUCAUGAUGUCAUGUACACCAAAGUAGCAUCCCUAUUGAGUACUUGACACAAUGGAUCAGUAUAUUUUUGAAUUUCUACUUAGUUGCUCAUGACAACUGAUAGGGUUAGUAAAUUCUUGUAAUGCCGUGUAGAUCAAAUUAGUGUCCUUAUUAACAAAGCCAUAUAUGUCCCAUAGAUACCUGCGUUGUAGCUUUCUAAGUUGAGAUAUACUAGUUCUGUGUGGUCAUCAAACUGACAGGAGAUGUAAACUCUUGUGAUGUCGUGCGUCGCCAAUUAGCAUCCUUAUUAACAAAAUGGUACAUGUCCAUUGGAUAAUCAUUUUUAGCCUCCUAAGUUUGAGAUACACUCAAGUACACAUGUUGUGUGUGGUUUGUGUAACUGACUAACAGGGGAUUUAAAUUUGAGCAGGAUCCCAGCACAGCAAAGAAA